CUAACAAGACCAAAUCCCCAUGAAAACGGUUCUCCUCCACUGCAUCUUCAGCGCUUGUUUUCAUCACUGAAAUUGGUUAUCAGACAAGCAAAACUAAAGGAAAAUGCAGAAGCAAACUGAUUCUUGCCACAGAAUCCAAAUUGCAUCACCCACCAUGGAUGCCUAGACCACCACCUCGUACUUCCUGCAGUCUAGACAUGGGUAUCUCGGAAAUGCUUCUGGAUUGAAGCUCCAAUUGGAAACUUGGAAAACCACUGUCCUUCCGCACAGAGAGCGCAGCCCGUGGUGUCUCUCACUGGACCCAGCUCACCUCUGCAGGCACCUCGUCCACUCGGCGGCUGCUGCUGCCCUUUCUGCCGUUAAUGCCUAGUUGUUUCUGCCAAGAACAGGAUUUCCUACCAUCCUGGCCAGAAGCACUACUGAAACUGCCUUCUCUCCCUCAGCAGGGAAGUCGGGUCUACAGUGAUGGACAGGAGGCGCCCUGGCCCCUUCUGUGGCCUGCUUAGCUGCCGAGGCUUUAAGAUCCACAGCAGCGAUGGCCGCGGGAAGAGGCUUCAUCGUGCUGUCCCACAUGCUGCCACGGGCGAUUUCACCAGGCACAGGAUCAUACGGCUUUCCUUUCUUCCUGACCUGCUUGGACUACUGCUUUUCAGAGAGCUUUGAAAAGGCUGUUUCAAAAACGCUGUGCGUCUGAUAUUUUCAGAACGCGCACCCACCCGGGCACCCCAACGCCGGGCAGCGUCCUCAGCUCGCCCCCUCCUCGCGCGCUCAACUCCCGUACAGCAGACCCAGAGCCCGCUUCGCCUCUGUGCCCCCUUCUGUGCUCUCACUCCCCACGAGCCCGGAGUCUCACGAUCGAUGCCCUCUUGCUCACCUUCCUCCAGUUGCUGCCUCUGUGCAUGGUCCCGUCACAGCCUACCUGUCUUUCGAUGUCAUUCCCAGCCCGGCAGCCCACGCCUUUCCUGAUCUGGCCGCGGUCUGCUCUCCGCAGCAGCAUCCCUUCCCUCCUCUGGGCUCCAGCCUCCCCUGCCAGCCAGGCCGCAGCGCCUCUGCUCCGGGCUGCUCUGCUCAGGCUGGGUCCUCCCCCUCCACGCCGGGUGCCGCUGCCGCCCUCCCUGGCCACCCCCCGGCCCUGGGCCCACAGCUCUACUGCUGCUCGCGGGAACGAGCGCACACUCUCCCAGCCCCUUCCUACCUGGGUUCCCGUCUGGGCCCAAAGAAGUACCUACACUCUCUGUGCCUCCCUUAAGGAGGAUUUUUAGGAACACUGGGCACUCCGUGUCUUUUAAGACAGGCUCUGCGUCCUUACCUCGUGACAGCAGAGAGCUCAGUCGGUGCCCCCUGGGAGCCGCGGCCCCGCAGCGAGGGUGCGUAUCUUCCUUCCUUCCUGCCUGCCUUAGCCAGCCUGGGCGUUCUGCCUCUGUGGGAGCACGUCUCUCUCAACUCCCCAAGUGUUUUCGUCACAUCCGACCACUUGCUCAAAUGCCAGCCAGCUGCUCGGCCCAGGCUAUUACGAGCUGCACUUCAACGCGCCCCAAAUCAAACUCCACGAAUGCCCCUUUCCCACCUCUCCCUCCACCCCGGACUUUCCUUCUGUGAAACGGCACUUUCUAAUCCUGCCUCUUAACGAGCCCCUUUUAGGCUCUGUCCUCCUCUAGACCAGAGGUCAGCAAACUAACAGUGCCUGCAAAAGGCCCGAGAGGGGACGGGUCAGGCUCCGCAGGCCACAUGCGGUCACAGACACUCCUCAGUGCUGCCGUUACAGCAUGACUGCGGCCGCAGACGCCGUGUCAACGAAGGGGUGUGGCGGGGUGCCAAAAAGUCUAUUAUGGACAUCAAACCUAGAAUGGCAUAGAAUUUCGUGUGUCCUAAGAUACUAUUCCUUCGUUUUUUUCCCCAGCUCAUAGGUGGAUAAAAACAGGUGGCGGACCGGCUCUGGAGCCGGCUUAACCCCCCUCUUUAGGCUCUAAACUUCUGGAGGACAGUCCCCAGCGAGGUGCUUAGUAGGAAGCAUGCUUGGUCAGCACUGCCAGAGGGACUGGGACCAUUCAUCAUAGUAUGGGUGAGUCUUCGUGGCCACAAUCCAUAUUCGAAGAUAAAUGAAGGAGAGCAGUGAGACGAUAGGAAAACUAUCUCCUUUCAUAGUGGGGACUUUAUCUUUGAAAAAUCUUCAAUACCCUUGUUAUCUGGACGUUGAUAAGAGAAAUGCUUGAUUUCAUCCUACCAGCCAUAGAUUUUAAUUUCUCCUCAAUAAUAUGUUGAGGGUUUUUUCAUAUUCCUCACUCUAAGUUGGAACGGACACUCCUCCUGUCAUGGACUCUGCACGUACUCUGUUAGCUUUUACCAAAUACAAAGAAACACGUGGAGGUGUGGCUCUGGCUGGGUAUCAGUCAUCAGAGAUUCGUACUCACCAUCCCACUGAUGCACCGGC